AGGGAUGCAGUCUGGGACACGUAGUUGCAAACCUAGCGACUUUGUUGUUAGAUUCAAUGACUUUUCAGACCCCCUAACGACUUUUUUUUAGAAAGAAAGUGACUUUUAUCGACUUCUUCUGGAGUUUAGAGACUCUGACAUGAAGCAGGCUUUCCUUACUGAGGAGUUAGCAACGCUGCUAAGGGUGCAGAGCCACACAUGCGCUCCGAGCUCUGCAUGGGAGACUGAAGCUGACAGAGCUGCAGCAGUUAGCAGGUUUCACCCUCAGAGACCACCAGGGGUUCAUGUUGAGGCAUUUUCAGUUUUUUUUUUUUUUUUUGCCAUAGACACUGUCAGCACAAUCUGCAGUUACACUAACAAAAAUGCUGCAAAAAAAAAAGUCCAUGUGUAAUUUUUCCAUAAUUCUAACAGAGGAGGAUCUACACAAGUUUUUUACAUCAUGUUUUACAUCAUGCAUCAUUUACAUCAUGUUUUUUUGUAGUGGCAUAAAUAAAAAGUGACAUUUGUGAGACUAUACAGUGUUUUGUAAAUAAUUUUACAAAGAACACCUGGGCCAUUGCCUGCAUUUUGAUGUAAAUAGAGGUAAAUUACUAUGUUCUUUGUUAAAAAUUUGCAUAUGUUUUGAAGUUUACAAUUUUUAUUUGAAGUUUAAGUUUUAAAAACAGUUCAUCACACAUAUUUGUGGUUUUCACAGUAAAAACGUUACUUUUUUCCACUCGGAUUUUAUGUUUUGUGUGUGAAUUUGGGUCCAAUGUGUAAAUAUAGUAUGUCAAAAUGAUAAAAUAACUGUAAAUUGACACAGGUGAGGUUGUGCUGAAAAAAAUGAUACCAGGCAAGGCAAGGUAAAAAUUUUGUAAGAGGAAAUAUAAAGGUAAAAUCUAAAGUAGUUAAAAACGGACAAUAGUGACUCACAGACUCCACAGACAAGUCCCUUUGGCGCCACUCAGUGGGCAAAACUACUUUGUCUACUGUAAUGUAUAUUUGGGUCAUCUUUGGCGCCCCCUAAAACAUAAACCGUGGGGUGCAGCGUCAUGAUUUUUACAACUUUGAAUGGCCAUGGAGUGUAGAUUGGCCUGAGCAAAUUUGGUGUCAUUGGGACGAAAGCUGUAGGACGAGUUAGCGAAAUUCCAAUGUGUGCGAAUCGGCAAAAAAUGCAAAAUAGCCCUUUUACCGUACAUUAUACAGAUACGCGCUCUUUGACUUUUUCAUAGAUCUAAUUGAGAUACACAUGAUUGUCAAUUUUUGUGUCAUUUUGCCAAAGCGUACAGGCGUGACAGUCAACAAUGUGUAUUUUCACCUUAGGGGACAAGAAAAAAUGGACUUUUUUCUCCUGCCAUGGGGGGGCGCUCUUUUAGGGAGUAAAAAUUCCUUCACAAAUGUGUUGAUGGCUGGACAUUGCAUCAUCCUAGAAAACUUGGAGGCCAGUGAGGACAAAAAUAAAAAGUUAUAAGACUUUUAAAAAUGUGGAUUUUUGGGUUAUCUUUGGCGCCCCCUAGAACGUAAACCGUGGGGUGCAGCGUCAUGAUUUGAAUAACUUUUAAUGGCCAUGGGGUGUAAUUUGGCCUGAGCAAAUGUGGUGCCGGUGGAACGAAAGCCUUCGGAGGAGUUAGCGAAAUUCCAAUGUGUGCGGAUCGGCAAAAAAUGCGGAAUAACCCUUUAACCGUACAUUUGACAGAUACGCGCACAUUGACUUUUUCGUAGAUCUUAUUGAGAUACACGUGAUAGUCAAAUUUUGUGUCAAUAUGACAAAGCGUACAGGUGUCACACUCAACAAUGUGAAUUUUCACCUUACGGGACAAGAAAAAAUUGACUUUUUUCUCCUGCCAUGGGGGGGCGCUCUUUUGGGGAGUAAAAAUUCCUUCACAAAUGUGUUGAUGGCUGGACAUUGCAUCAUCCUAGAAAACUUGGAGGCCAGUGAGGGCAAAAAUAAAAAGUUAUAAGACUUUGAAAUAUGUGGAUUUUAGGGUUAUCUUUGGCGCCCCCUAGAACCUAAACCGUGGGGUGCAGCAUAAUGAUUUGAAUAACUUUUAAUGGCCAUGGGGUGUAGAUUGGCC